rnacentral:rRNA from 1 species
GGGUUAGUAGGUUGGUCAUGCCUCUGGUAUGUACUGGUCUCACUGAUUCCUCCUUCCUGAUGAACCUUAAUGCCAUUAAUUUGGUGUUUUGGGGAAUUUGGACUGUUACUUUGAAGAAAUUAGAGUGCUCAAAGCAAGCCCAAGCUCUGGAUAUAUUAGCAUGGGAUAACAUCAUAUGAUUUCGGUCCUAUUGUGUUGGCCUUCGGGAUCGGAGUA